rnacentral:lncRNA from 1 species
CUAAAAGGUACAAAGACUUGGAGAAAAAGGAAGAGAAAUUGCAGAUCCAAUAGUUGGAGAAGGAGCUGUCACAGGCGGCGUGGAAUAUUAACGAGCCCAAAGCAGCAGUGCAGAGAGAGCAGGAGGAUCCAGGGUUUAGACAACACGACAAAAUUCCAAUUCAGAAGAAUCAACACACUAUUGAAGCAAGAAGUAAUACAAUGUAAAGCUGCCUUUUUUCAAAGAGUAAGCCAUGGCGCCUUGGUAUGCUAGAUGUCCUUCCCAGACAUUCAUCUGUCAUGAACAACCUAUCUUCCUCCACACCUCCAAAGACCGGAAAGGCAAUUUUUAACUGAAUUGCUAUUCCUGCAAACUUUUCUGUAACAGUCAGAUUCCCAGGUAUAUUAUCGUUAUCAUCUUCCUCCUAUGCAG